CAUCCACUCUUGUCAGGAAGGAAGCCUUUUUAAUUCUCCAAAGCUCAAAGCCCACAAUGUUCUACACAGUGACCUUGAGGGACUGAUCACCCCUUGGUACUUGCCAACUACAGAUUAAUUUCUAUUGUUUAGUCCAGAGAAAACUGUCAAGGAACUAUGGAUUCAUGAGUGGAAGUACUGGGUCAUCUGAUAAUCCUGUGUUUAACUUUUUGAGGAACCGCCAUACCGUUUUCCACAGCAUGUGCUCCUUUACUUGUAUGCGUGUAUUCCAUCUCUUCUAACAACACUCCAGCAAAAUAGGCCUACUGCAGGUUACAUUGAGUCUUCUUACUCAACUCCAUUUAUCCAGGAACUGGGCUCCUGACUCUUGAGAGAUGGAGAGAAGUGUGCUGGUGGGCCUGCAAAAGAAGAUAAGUGGGGGCAGAGGAAAUGGCCAUGGAAAAGCACAGAUAUCAUGAAGAGUUAGUGAGGGGAUGGGCUCCUCUGUGGACUAUGAAUAAAGUGUUUACAACACUCUAUGGCAAGUGGAACAAAUCAGACUGCUGAAAGUCAGUAAGGAGUCUCUUGGAAUCCCAUAUGAGACAGAGAUUGCCUCUCUUAAAGUUUAUCAGUUUUAUUUUUGAAUUGCUUUUAUCCAAAACUAGAAAGAAAACUCCUUUACCCUGUCAAAAAACCAACAGACAUGUCUGAACCCUACAAAAUUGCCCAAUCCAUACACAGAUACAUAGAAAUAUGAGGUUUUGAUAAUUUGGAAAAUCAUCCAAACCAUUGUUUAAAUUUUAAUACCUUACUUGUUUUCACUUAGCCUUUCCUGGAGGUUUCUAAGCUCUCCAAAAUUAAUAAAUAAGAGAAGUAACUUAGCCAUUUCUGUGAGUUGCUUAUGUUAGAAAGACAUCUCCAAACUAUAGUCUUUCAAGCACUCCUUUCCUUUGCAGAUGGCUAUUGAUAUAAAUAUUUCUCUAAUUCCCUGAGCGUUCAAAUGGGCUGGAGUUUCAUGUUAAAUCUGGACUUAAGAGAGAGUUCGGUCUCUCUGACUUCAUAUUAUGGUGACUUUUCCAUCUCUGCUCAUUUAUCAGGGAGAUAACUGUCUGUUGGAAUGGCUUUCUUGAUCCUUGAACUAUUAGUGGGAUAGACUCUUAUCUGAUGGCUUCAAGAAGGGCCUGGUUUGCUUGUGGUGGCCAAAAAGGCCUUAAUUGAUACUGCAAAUAGUUAAUUUAUGACCCCAGGUUAAACUGGAAACCUGAUUUCUUGACUAGCAUAUUUAAGAGCUAUUUCUUUUUUUUCUCUUUGUCAAUAGAUCAUAUUUAGUUAUGCUGAUCUGUUCUAUUCAUCCACUUUACCUUUGUGUAAUAAAGUCUUUGAAAGUAUUGCCUUUAUAUUUUCU
rnacentral:lncRNA from 10 species